rnacentral:misc_RNA from 1 species
AGAAGCCAUCCUAUCGAACAAAACCUGAAGGAACGCGGAGAGAACUGAUCCUCCGAUCAACGACGCUGCCAUGGUUUUUCCUUCUGAAUUGGAAAGUAAACGAUACCAGACGAGAAAAAAAGAUAAGAAAGACUCUGAUUAACUUUCGCCCGUACAGAAAACGGACGAGAACCGGUAGCAGAAAAAGAUAAGAAAAACUCUGAUUAACCUUCGUCGAUACAAAAAACUACAAAAUUAGAGUCUUUUCGAUU